GCCUGGGUGGCUCAGUCGGUUGAGUGUCUGACUUCGACUCAGGUCAUGAUCUCACGGUUUCAUGGGUUCCAACCCCACGUCGGGCU
rnacentral:tRNA from 1 species